UACAGAGGUCUCAAGCGUUGUUCGGAUUCAUUGGGCGUAAAGGGUGCGUAGGUGGCGCCGUAAGUCGGGUGUGAAAUUUCGGAGCUUAACUCCGAAACUGCACUCGAUACUGCGGUGCUUGAGGACUGGAGAGGAGACUGGAAUUCAUGGUGUAGCAGUGAAAUGCGUAGAGAUCGGGAAGAACACCCGUGGCGAAGGCGGCCAGCUGGGCCGGUUCUGACGCUGAGGCGCGAAAGCGUGGGGAGCAAACAGG
rnacentral:rRNA from 1 species